AAGUCCAAAAUCUGAAAUCUUUGGGUUGUAAUUCUGAUCAAGAAGGAUAUUGCUGGGUUUUAUGCUAUAGUGAAUGAUUGGUGGACGGAAGGAAUGAUGCAAGUGAGCAAGCCCCUUGGCUGUUCCAAGCACAAUUUUGAAUCUGUUAGCCCAAGAAAGAGGUGGAGUAGAAGGUAGCCUGCCAUGGAGUUUUGCUUGUAAGCUACCAUUGGGUGCGAAUUCUGAUACCAACAACUGCAAUUGAGGUGUCCAGUAAUAGCCUUUCAGUGAUAUGAGAUUUGGGUGACUUGCUUUUCCUAAUAUUCGAACUUCUCGAUCAAAGUCUUCUGGAUACUGGAUUAUAUUGGAUGUAACAAGCUUUUUAAUUGCUACCAUUCUUCCCUCUGAACCACCCAAAGAAACCUUGUAAACUGUUCCAAAUACUCCUCCUCCGAUUUCAGCAGCCUUAUUGAGCAGUGAUUCUGGAUUGCUGAUCCAAUCAGGUGAAGAUCUUGAAUCUAACAGAACCAGCUUGCCUGUUGCUAUAGCUCCAGACCUUGAAGAGCUAGAGAACAUGCUUUCCAAGGCAUGAUCCACAAAUGCAAGCCUCUUCCGAGCAGAUAUAUUGGCAAGGCUUAUGACUAUCACUCCUAACACUAUGAAUAUAGCUGCUGAAAUCGCAAUAAUAGCAGAAACACUAAGCAGCAUGUGGUGACGAUACCCUGUGGAGUCAGAGGAUACAUUCCUUGGCCGAUGGCCUUCUAUUUGGUUGCCAUAGGCAUAAGGAUCAAGGACUAGAGGCUUUGGCACAUUCAUUUUACAUGGUCCCUUGAGCAAGGGUGAGCAAAUUCCCAAAUUUCCCUGCAAAGAACUUUGAUCCAGGCUUGGAAAUAUGCCCCCGGAAGGAAGCCUACCUAUGAGCUUGUUAUAUGAUAUGUUGACAGCAAGCAGUUUCUCUAGUUUCCCAAGCUCUAGAGGUAUCUCUCCACUCAGUUCAUUAAAUUCCAAUUUUAGGAUCUUGAGCUUGUUUAGCAUUGAAAUGGACUUAGGAAUGGGACCACUUAAAUUAUUGUGAGACAAGCUCAGCAGGUAGAGAGACGAACAGUUUCCGAUCUCUUCAGGAAUCGGGCCUGUCAAUGAAUUCCCAUCGAGUUGAAGAAUGCUCAAACUUCCAGACUCGCAUAUGUCCGCAGGGAUUGAACCAAAUAUGGCACUGUUUCGAAGAUCCAAAACUGUUAGGUUCUGGAAGUAGCCAAGCUCUGGAGCCAUUGUUGAUUGAAGAUUAUUCCAUGAUAAAUUCAAGUAUCUCAAAUUGGAAGAAAGACCCAUUUCUGCUGUAAUAUUUCCUGUGAGAUUGUUUCUUGAAAGGUCAAGUGAAUGAAGAGAUCCAUAGAAUCUACUUGAACUAGGAGGGAUUGAACCAAUCAGAUUAUUGUUCGAAAAAUCUACUUCCUCUAGUCCAAGAUCAAACAAGCCCUCUGGUAUGCUGCCGUUAAAGCUGUUACCUCUCAACCGAAUCACAGAUAACCUGCUACAGUCAACCAUUGAUGUGGGAAUGUUACCAGUGAGUUUGUUAUUGAACAAACUCAGGUAGUUGAGAGAUUUCAAAUCACUGAUGGAUGAAGGGAGGCUUCCCGUAAGACCAUUACUAGAAAAGUCCAAGUAUUCAAGAUUGGUCAUUUUCCCGAUCCACCAAGGGAAAUCACCGGUGAGCAUAUUAUUUGAUAAACUGAAAUAGGUCAAAGAGCUCAGCUGGCCCAAAGACUCCGGCAAUGCUUCACUGAAGUGAUUGUCGCUCAAAUCCAAUUUAAGCAAGUGUAUGCACAGUCCAAUAUCUACAGGUAGUGGUCCUGAGAAUUGGUUGCCCUCGAGUUGUAACGCUUUCAAGCUGUGGAGGGAAGACACACCUGGUGGAACGGAACCUGAAAACUCAUUUUUUGAAAGAUCCAAAUUUCUAAGGCGUUUCAAUGACCAAAUCCCAGUAGAGAAAUCUGGGUUACCAGAAAAAUGGUUGUUGGAGAGAUUGAGAGUAUUCAAAGAAGAGCAACUUGCUAGAGUUCUGGGCAAUGGACCUUCAAGCCCAUUCCCAGCUAGAGAAAGAUACCGAAGGGAUAAACAGUUCUGAAAGAAAUCAUCAUUGAGUGGUCCUGAGAAAGAAUUUUCGGAUAGAUCGAGAAAUCUAAUGGAAGUCAUAUUGACAAUUGAUGAAGGAAUGAGACCAGAUAGACUGUUGUGACUGAGGUUAAGCCUUUCAAGACCGGUCAUGAGAGCAAAGUCAGGACUAAUUUCACCACUAAAAUUGUUAUUCGAAAGCGAUAAUACCUUCAAAUGCUGCAACUUUUGGAGUCCUUUGCCCAAUUUUCCUGACAAGCCCAAGCCAUCAAGGGAAACAUGAGAAACUCGACCAGUAACAGGAUUGCACUCUAUGAACUUCCAUGAACAUGGGGAAUCAUCAUCUUCGUUCCACGAGCUGAGAGAGGCAGAUGGAUCGAUGAGGUCUGACUUGAAAACGAUGAGACCCAAAACGUCAUCGUUGAGUUGGAUGGGCACAGCAUCAUUGCCCAUGCAAGCUUUGAGAGAAGCUGCUGAAAGAAGAAAAUAUAACAAGAAUUGAGCAAAACCCAUAAUUAACCGGGACUUUUUCUUUCUUUUUCUGCUGCUUAAUUAGAUACGGAUACAUGCAAGCCUAUGAUGAAGUAGAAGAUAUUCUGAUUCUCGACUCGAUAAGGAAAGCCAUGUGAGUCUGUGAGACGGUGUUGGAUGCUGCGUUGCUCUGUGGGAAAGUGAUGUCGCAUAAUCGUGUUCACGGGGCGAGAUAG
rnacentral:misc_RNA from 1 species